UACGUAGGGUGCGAGCGUUUAAUCGGAAUUACUGGGCGUAAAGCGUGCGCAGGCGGUUUUGUAAGCCAGAUGUGAAAUCCCCGGGCUUAACCUGGGAAUGGCAUUUGGGACUGCAAGGCUGGAGUGCGGCAGAGGAGACUGGAAUUCCUGGUGUAGCGGUGGAAUGCGUAGAGAUCCGGAGGAAGACCGGUGGCGAAGGCGGCCUG
rnacentral:rRNA from 1 species